CUACGGGUGGCUGCAGUGAGGAAUAUUGCACAAUGGGGGGAACCCUGAUGCAGCAACGCCGCGUGGAGGAUGACGCAUUUCGGUGUGUAAACUCCUUUUAUAUGUCAAGAAAAUGACGGUAGCAUAUGAAUAAGCACCGGCUAACUCCGUGCCAGCAGCCGCGGUAAUACGGAGGGUGCAAGCGUUACUCGGAAUCACUGGGCGUAAAGGACGCGUAGGCGGGUUGGAAAGUCAGGUGUGAAAUCCUACAGCUUAACUGUAGAACUGCACUUGAAACUACGAGCCUAGAGUAUGGGAGGGGGAGAUGGAAUUAGUGGUGUAGGGGUAAAAUCCGUAGAUAUCACUAGGAAUACCUAAAGCGAAGGCGAUCUCCUGGAACAUAACUGACGCUAAGGCGUGAAAGCGUGGGGAGCAAACAGGAUUAGAUACCCUUGUAGUC
rnacentral:rRNA from 1 species